GUCUACAGCCAUACCACCCUGAACUUGCCUUAUCUCGUCUGAUCUUGUAAGGUAAGCAGGAUUGGGCCUGGUUAGUUCUUGGGUUUGGAGACCGUCUGAAAAUACUGAGGGCUGUAGGGU
rnacentral:rRNA from 1 species